rnacentral:rRNA from 1 species
GAUGAACGCUGGCGGCGUGCUUAACACAUGCAAGUCGAACGAAGCACUUAUGAAAGAUUCUUCGGAUGAUGGAUUAAGUGACUGAGUGGCGGACGGGUGAGUAACGCGUGGGUAACCUGCCUCAUACAGGGGGGAUAACAGUUAGAAAUGACUGCUAAUACCGCAUAAGCGCACAGUAUCGCAUGAUACCGUGUGAAAAACUCCGGUGGUAUGAGAUGGACCCGCGUCUGAUUAGCUAGUUGGUGAGGUAACGGCUCACCAAGGCGACGAUCAGUAGCCGGCCUGAGAGGGUGAACGGCCACAUUGGGACUGAGACACGGCCCAAAACUCCUACGGGGAGGCAGCAGUGGGAAUAUUGCACAAUGGGGGAAACCCUGAUGCAGCGACGCCGCGUGAGUGAAGAAGUAUUCGGUANGUAAAGCUCUAUCAGCAGGGAAGAAAAUGACGGGUACCU